rnacentral:rRNA from 1 species
AAUUAUUAUUAGAUUUUUAAAUAAUUAUUCACGAAAUAAAUUGAGCUAAAUUUUUGGUAUUUUUUGGAAAUUAUAACUAUAUGUUACAAAAUAUAUUAACUAAAUAGAUUUAGGGGUGAAAGGCCUAUCAAAUUUUAUGAUAUCUUGAAGUAUAUAAAAUAUAUCAAGUAUUUCUAAUUCAACUAUUGAAUGUUUAGGUUCAAUAGUAACAUUAUAUUUUUUAAAAAGUUGUUCAAUUUUUUUAAGUAAAAUUGAUUUAGAGCAUAAAAUAUACAUCAAAUUUUUAUUAUAUGAAUAUAAGUAUACUACGGUUAUUAAUAAAUAUAAUCAUAUAUAAUGUAAUUAUUAGUAAUAGUUUAUUAAACUAUAUAAAGGAAUUCGGCAAGAAAAUUUUUCACCUGUUUAUCAAAAACAUAGCUUAUUGAAUAUCAUAAUAAGUAACCCCUGCUCAAUGGAAAUCUAAAUAGCCGCAGUACCUUGACUGUGCAAAGGUAGCAUAAUCAAUUGGCUUAUAAUUGAAGUCUGGAAUGAAUGGGUAAUCUGGAAAAUAACUGUCUUUAUUUGUAGUAUUUUUGAAUUUACUUAUAAAGUGAAAAUACUUUAAUAUAAAUAUAAGACGAGAAGACCCUAGAAAUUUUUUGUUAAUAACUUUUGUUGGGGCGACAGGGUAACAUAUAAACUUACUUACAUUUUAUAUAAAUCUUAUAAGGUACGUAAUUAAAUUACUCUAGGGAUAACAGCAUAAUAUAUAAAAGUUUAUGACCUCGAUGUUGGACUAGGUAAUUAAAUAUUUAAAAGAUAUCUUAAUUUGCUCUGUUCGAGCAGUACCACCUACAU